rnacentral:tRNA from 1 species
GCCGGAAUAGCUCAGUUGGUUAGAGAGAGGACUGAAC